UAACAGUUUAGGCACACACUUUUCCCUUUUCCCUAAUGCAGGUAACAGUUUAGGUACACACUUUUCCCUAAUGCAGGUAACAGUUUAGGCACACACUUUUCCCUUUCCCUAAUGCAGGUAACAGUUUAGGUACACACUUUUCCCUUUCCCUAAUGCAGGUAACAGUUUAGGUACACACUUUUCCCUUUUCCCUAAUGCAGGUAACAGUUUAGGCACACACUUUUCC